UACGUAGGGUGCAAGCGUUAAUCGGAAUACUGGGCGUAAAGCGUGCGCAGGCGGUUUUGUAAGUUUGUCGUGAAAUCCCCCGGGCUCAACCUGGGAAUGGCGAUGAAGACUGCAAGGCUAGAAUCUGGCAGAGGGGGGUAGAAUUCCACGUGUAGCAGUGAAAUGCGGUAGAGAUGUGGAGGAACACCGAUGGCGAAGGGCAGCCCCCCUGGGUCAAGAUUGACGCUCAUGCACGAA
rnacentral:rRNA from 1 species